CCCCUCUCAGGGUCGGACCUGGAGAGUUUCCAGUACUCCACCAGUCUCAGCUACAGGAGGGAGAGUCAAGCAGAGGCCUAUCCAUUCCAUUCCUGGAUUGCUGAUGGCUAGUGAGUGGAAGGCAAUCUGCUACAAGU